AUAAGAUAAUUAUGUCAUAAAUGAACUAAAUUAGCUAAUUAUGUCAUUUUGGAGGAUAUAUUGGCUAAGUAUGUCUUUCUUUGGGAAAAUAAGCUGAGGAGAAGAAGAAAGAGGAGAAGAAGAAGGAGAAGGAGAAGGAGAAGGAGAAGGAGAAGAAGAAGAAGUAGAAGAAGAAGAAGGAGGAGGAGGAGGAGGAGGAGAAGAAGAAGAAGAAGGAGAAGAAGGAGAAGAAGAGGAAGAGGAUGAUUACAAUACGUUUCUUAUUUUGAGCUUAUUAUGUCAUUUAGGAGGAAGAUAAU
rnacentral:lncRNA from 1 species